UACGGGGGGGGGGAGCAAGCGUUGUUCGGAUUUACUGGGCGUAAAGGGCGCGUAGGCGGCCAGCACAAGUCAGUUGUGAAAUCUCCGAGCUUAACUCGGAACGGUCAACUGAUACUGUGCGGCUAGAGUGCGGAAGGGGCAACUGGAAUUCUUGGUGUAGCGGUGAAAUGGCGUAGAUAUCAGGAGGAACACCGGUGGCGAAGGCGGGUCUCUGGGCCGAUACUGACGCUGAGGAGCGAAAGCAUGGGUAGCGAACAGG
rnacentral:rRNA from 1 species